AUCUAAAAUGACAGACAGAUGUAUAGGAUUUAAGCUCCUACCAGGAAGACCUUCUUUUAGA
rnacentral:tRNA from 1 species